GGCGGUUAGAUAAGUNUGAAGUUAAAGGCUGUGGCUUAACCAUAGUAUGCUUUGGAAACUGUUUAACUUGAGUGCAGAAGGGGAGAGUGGAAUUCCAUGUGUAGCGGUGAAAUGCGUAGAUAUAUGGAGGAACACCGGUGGCGAAAGCGGCUCUCUGGUCUGUAACUGACGCUGAGGCUCGAAAGCGUGGGGAGCAAACAGGAUUAGAUACCCUGGUAGUCCACGCCGUAAACGAUGAGUGCUAGGUGUUAGGCCCUUUCCGGGGCUUAGUGCCGCAGCUAACGCAUUAAGCACUCCGCCUGGGGAGUACGACCGCAAGGUUGAAACUCAAAGGAAUUGACGGGGGCCCGCACAAGCGGUGGAGCAUGUGGCUUAAUUCGAAGCAACGCGAAGAACCUUACCAGGUCUUGACAUCCCUCUGACCGCUCUAGAGAUAGAGUUUUCCUUCGGGACAGAGGUGACAGGUGGUGCAUGGUUGUCGUCAGCUCGUGUCGUGAGAUGUUGGGUUAAGUCCCGCAACGAGCGCAACCCCUAUUGUUAGUUGCCAUCAUUGAGUUGGGCACUCUAGCGAGACUGCCGGUAAUAAACCGGAGGAAGGUGGGGAUGACGUCAAAUCAUCAUGCCCCUUAUGACCUGGGCUACACACGUGCUACAAUGGCUGGUACAACGAGUCGCAAGCCGGUGACGGCAAGCUAAUCUCUGAAAGCCAGUCUCAGUUCGGAUUGUAGGCUGCAACUCGCCUACAUGAAGUCGGAAUCGCUAGUAAUCGCGGAUCAGCACGCCGCGGUGAAUACGUUCCCGGGCCUUGUACACACCGCCCGUCACACCACGAGAGUUUGUAACACCCGAAGUCGGUGAGGUAAC
rnacentral:rRNA from 1 species